UUCCGAUCCGAUAUUUACUACUGGAAUUUCUGCCAAAGAGUUUUCCGAUAUUUCUCCCGGGAUUUCUUUUGGAGAUUUUCAGAGUUCUUUCAUGAAUUUUCUAAAUAUUUCCUACCAUAGCUUUUUCCAGAGAUUUCCCAGUUCUUCUCAGGAUUUCUUCCGAAGUUUCUCUCGCGUUCCUCAUUGCAUAAUUUGAAUCUAGGGUAAAAACGUCGAUAGGAAUACGAAAGAAGCUCCGAGAGGAAUUUGAAAAGGAAUCCCAAGCAACAGGAAUGAAAGAAAAUCUCUCUAAUAAUGACACAUAACCUAACCUUAGCUUUGGAAACCACUUAAGUUCGUAACAUUUUUUCAUUUUUACGGGAUUUCCGUUUAUUUUUUGGUGAUUGCUACUGCAUGUUCAGGAGACGCAAAUGGACUCAAAUAAUAAUGUAAGUCAUGAAUGGUGAAAAUUUCGUUGCAAUCGGUUCAUUGAAGCCGGAGAUAUAACAGCUCAAAGUUGGCUAUCGAAUAAUUUUACCUUUUCCAAGAAUCUUUAUAACUUCGUGGAGAAUGGCCCGAUCUUUUCCAAAUUUAAACCACUGAUACACAACUAGUUGAUGAACUUACAGCAAAAAUUUGAGAAUAUUUGAUGCACUUUUCGAAAAGUUACAGUUAUUUGAACAUUUUUGGAAAAGUGAAAAUUUUACCUGUCCCAAUCAUUUUGUCUAUCCCCUGUAGUACAUUCCAACGGAAAAUUUUAAGACUAACAUUUACAUGUCAUUGCUUCAAAUUUUGUUUUAUUGACUAUUUUGUAAGAAAAUUAUAAUAUUUUAAAAACUUGUUUGGUAAAAUGAAUUAAGAGUGUCAUGAAGGCGGUAUUAUUGUUCACGAAAAAAUUCAAGCCAAAAAACUAGAAAGCAUUGCAUUAUAUUUUUAUUUGUUGACUAUUGAGUAUUUUACGGCUUAUUAGACUUUUGUGCAAAUAUUAUUUGCACAGUGACUAUUUGCACACCUCACUGAACAUACACGCUUUCUCACGGUUACCCCGACAACAACUCUUUUCCUCACUGUUUAUACUCUUCAAAACAUUGAUGUGAUUGAUCGUCAUAGUUCAGUGAAACAUUCAGUAGAACCGGCGAAGAAAUGCGAAAUAAAAGUUAUGUUCUCAGGCAUGGGAGGUUCGGGGAUUAAAUUCAAUUGAAUCCAAAGCUCUGUAAAAUAUCUAUGCAUCCAGAAAGUUGAACAUGGAGAUUCCAAACAAUGGAGUCGAAAUCUAGGUCGUAGUGAAAGGGUUUUGUUGAGAUGGACAGUGUGUACUAUAUGUUGUACUCCUGGAACCUCCGGCCUCCAGUCAGAAAGCUGGCAAAUCUACAAUUAAGGUGGAGAAACACUCAGAGCGUACGGACAGGGCACGUCAGGGAUGAAACAGGGACUUCAGGUUCACAAGAUCGCGCUCGGAACUAGGAGGGACAACACGGGUUAAAACCGAUCUCUAAAGCACUCUCAUAUACCAGCUCAGUCCCCACACAUGCAGUCACUCCCAUCCAAAAUCCCUGUCUCCUCCCUGAUGUGGCCCUAAUAUUCCUACGGGCUGAACGGCUCCCCAACCCAAACACGACCUGUAAUCCACCCGGCUGCGACCGAAGGCCAAAAACACAACACAGGUACACCAUUCAUUACUGUAUCGCACAACCCGGUCCGGAAAGAAAUUGUCAGCGCAUAUCACCGGGGAAAAAACCAUUCCUUACACGAAAUCUGUCCGUGUAAGGUAUAAGUCGUAUGUGAGCUCGUCUUCCUUGUUUUGGUAGAAUGUCAAGCAUUAAGAUGCAUACGCCUACUAAAAUUAGUGAGUGUGCAAAUUGUAUCUCACUAAAUCAAAACUGCACUAGAGUCUAGAAAUUCAUAAAAUCGUCAAUACCUUGUGUGAAAAAUGUGGUAUUUUCCUAUUAUUCCGAGUGAAAUAAAAUACGAGUGUAAUAAAAAAUUCACUAGGAUUGUUCAAAUAAAUCCACUAAACUACUACGAUAAAUUUGAAGUUGAAUAACUACAUAUCAUUGAUUUAAAUUUUGGCUUAUUCGCAUUUUUGUGGUAUUCUCGUACAUUUUUUUAUAAAACAAAAUAUUAGUGUAAUGUAAACAUCAACAUUUUAUCAAAAACAGGUCCAGUACAUUAUAACGAAAAAUUUAAGGCCAUACCACAGAGAACAGACGUUUAUCUUUGCUCUCUGCCUUGUGUAAAACUUUGUAACGGUCAUAUCAGAGCAUGUGGUUAUGCUUCCGUUGGGUGGCGCCAGCGUCCCAUUACUUACAUUGUUGUGUUGUCAUUUUUGUUUCCAGUGCUCGCCGUUUUUGGCCGUUUGUCACUCGUGUCGCUUUGUGGGCUAGUGUAUUUUAACGAUGAACACUGCCAUCGUGGGGUCAAAUCGACUUUAUCCAGCUUUCCACGCUAGCCAUAAUGGCGGAUGCCAUAAAAAAGUUUGACAAGAACUGUGCCCUACGCUGAACUGAAAUUGACGAAAUUAUUCUUAGCAAGCUACGAUAUAAAAACCGUGUUGUUGUUCGCUGUCAGACGUGAUUUUUUCGCUUCAAUUUAUUUUUUCAUUCCAUCACUUACGAUUUUCUUUAUUUUAGGAAAUGGUAUUCGAGUUUCAGUGAUCGCAUUCCUUAUAGUGACCGGAAGUUAAACCUACAUCUAAACCAAACAUAAAAUCAGCUUCCGUAUCCACACCGUAUCCUGGCAUUCGUUUGGCUUGUAAUACGAAGAAAAUAGUGGCCCAAUGCUGCUUCUCGAGAACGUUAUGGUUUACAAACUUAGGAACGCUUACAGAUGGACCUUGAGUUGACCUGAUGUUCUACUUAACCCAGAAUCGUUUGCGUAUCAAAUACAUUGAAGUGGAGAUUUCCCCGGACAGGGACAGGUCGACGCCGCCUGAUCCAUGGCAGGGCAUAGUGGAAAACUAUAAUUUCGUUAGAUAGAAAUAUAGGUCUGGGACCUAGACGUGGAUUUUUCGGGACUUGACCCUGUCUGGUCUAAUAAGCAAAGCGCUUGAGGCUCCCCUUUUCUAAUAAUUAAAGACAAAAAUAAACAUUUUAAAAAAAUCCCUCCGUCCUCCCUGACGUUCAGGCGUCUCAGUUGUGGUCAAUAUCGUUAACUAUCAAAACCAUCGAAAUACAUUUCCUCUUUGCUUAUACCUCAUAUGGAAAGAAUUGCAAUAUGAGUAGUUCAAAAAGGUAAUUCCGGCAAUUAUCCAUACGCUCUGCGAAAAUAAUAGGCAAUCUAUACCUGCCCAAAUAUUUGGUACAUUCGGAGUUGACAACAACGAACCCAGCUUUCCAAUCAAAGAAAAUGGUGCUUGAUAUUGGCUUCUUGGUCGCUUAGAUGACAGUCAGUGGGCGAAGAGAAUUUUGUAAUUUUCCUAUGAAGAUUUUUGUUUGUGAGGGCUAGUUAGAAUUCACGUGAUUCUUUAUGAUCGGUAAUGGGUUUUAAGAGAUUCUUGAUUAUUAAGUAUUUGGGACAAUUUCAAUGAGAAUUUUUGAGGAUUUUGAAUUCUGGGGUUCAACGAUGCACUUAACGGAGCUGACGAAAAUGCGCGCUCCUUUGCCUAACUCAUCAAAAUCGUUUCAACGGACAAUGCUCCAAAAUCAUUUCACGGGAUCCAGUUUCAUAUUCAGUUACAUUAAACCUAAAAUAAAAUGCAAA